GGGGGCGUGUUGGUUUCGACAGGUGGCUGGAUUAUUAUUAUGCAUGUCGCAGGCUCGUCUGCGUUAUAACGGAAACAAAAAAUAAAUGCAGAAAAAAAUGCACAAACUUACAACUAUGCAAAUAAUGGCGUAAGCGCUUGUGUUGCAUAUGCGUAAUUUAUCUUGGUUAGAUGUUAAAUAAACUGGUUUAGUCAAUGUGUGAUUGGUUGCAAGUGAUUAAGCCUCAAAAAAACCAAUCAACCUUAUAAUGUUUACUCGGCAUUAUAUUGAAACAAGAGUUAGUUGCAAAAAGUUUGUCAUUUUAGAUUUUUGUGAUGAGUAUUGAAAAAUGACUAAGCAUGUAGUAUGAUAAUAGUGAGGCUGUUUGGACAUGGGUUCAACUCCCAUCGCUUCCACCA
rnacentral:tmRNA from 1 species